UGGGGAAUAUUGGGCAAUGGGGGCAACCCUGACCCAGCGACGCCGCGUGAGGGAAGACGGCCUUCGGGUUGUAAACCUCUUUUGUACGGGAAGAAGGAAGUGACGGUACUGUACGAAUAAGUCCCGGCUAACUACGUGCCAGCAGCCGCGGUAAUACGUAGGGGACGAGCGUUGUCCGGAAUUACUGGGCGUAAAGGGCGCGCAGGCUGUGCUGCAAGUCAGCUGUGAAAUGUCUGGGCUUAACCCGGGCAUGCGGUUGAGACUGCAGUGCUGGAGUGCUGUAGAGGCAAGUGGAAUUCCCAGUGUAGCGGUGAAAUGCGUAGAUAUUGGGAAGAACACCGGUGGCGAAGGCGACUUGCUGGGCAGCAACUGACGCUCAUGCACGAAAGCGUGGGGAGCAAACA
rnacentral:rRNA from 1 species